UACGUAGGGACCAAGCGUUGUUCGGAUUUACUGGGCGUAAAGGGCGCGUAGGCGGCGUGACAAGUCACUUGUGAAAUCUCCGGGCUUAACUCGGAACGGCCAAGUGAUACUGUCGUGCUAGAGUGCAGAAGGGGCAAUCGGAAUUCUUGGUGUAGCGGUGAAAUGCGUAGAUAUCAAGAGGAACACCUGAGGUGAAGACGGGUUGCUGGGCUGACACUGACGCUGAAGCGCGAAAGCUAGGGGAGCAAACGGG
rnacentral:rRNA from 1 species